GGCCGACUAGCUCAGCUGGUUAGAGCGUCGUGCUAAUAACGCGAAGGUCAUGGGUUCGAUCCACACGUUGGCCA
rnacentral:tRNA from 1 species